UAAAAUCUAAUUAAAACCCCAUUUCAUUUUCAGCAACAGCAGCCACAAGGGCUGCUUCAUCUUCUCCUUUGCUCCUCACACCGAAAUCAAGCAACAACGUCAACGGCGCGCCUCUUCUGGUAUGGAGAUCGUGGAGGGCGACGUGGGUGAUGGACGGUUGCUGUAACGUGAGGAUGACGUGCGAUGCUAACUGCUGUUAGCCACUGCUUAGAGUUAGGCUGGGAUUUGGGUUAGUGACUUGGGCUUGUAAUGGGUUUGGGCUUUAGGCUUAGUUGAGUCCGGGUCAAAAAUUGGAUAUUUCGAUUAUUUUCUCGAGAAUCAUGAAGGCCAAGUAUUUAUUUUUCAAUAAGAUCAUACAAAUUUCAAAUAAAAGCUUAUUCUCGGGAAUUCAAAAA